rnacentral:misc_RNA from 1 species
GAUGAAGAACGCAGCGAAAUGCGAUAAGUAGUGUGAAUUGCAGAAUUCAGUGAAUCAUCGAAUCUUUGAACGCACAUUGCGCCCCUUGGUAUUCCAUGGGGCAUGCCUGUUCGAGCGUCAUUUGUACCUUCAAGCUUUGCUUGGUGUUGGGUGUUUGUCCUGAGGGACUCGCCUUAAAGUAAUUGGCAGCCAGUGUUUGGUUUUGAAGCGCAGCACAAGUCGCGAUUCAAAGCUAUACGCCCGCUUCCACAAGCCUUUUUCACUUUUGACCUCGGAUCAGGUAGGGAUACCCGCUGAACUUAAGCAUAUCAUAAGCGGAGGA